GACGAACGCUGGCGGCGUGCUUAACACAUGCAAGUCGAACGGUGAAGCGCCUUCCCUUUUGGUGGGUGUGGAUGAGUGGCGAACGGGUGAGUAACACGUGAGUAACCUGCCCCCUUCUUCUGGAUAACCGCAUGAAAGUGUGGCUAAUACGGGAUAUUCUGGGUCUGUCGCAUGAUGGGUCUGGGAAAGAUAUUGUUUCGGUGGGGGAUGGGCUCGCGGCCUAUCAGCUUGUUGGUGGGGUGAUGGCCUACCAAGGCGGUGACGGGUAGCCGGCCUGAGAGGGUGGACGGUCACACUGGGACUGAGACACGGCCCAGACUCCUACGGGAGGCAGCAGUGGGGAAUAUUGCACAAUGGGCGCAAGCCUGAUGCAGCGACGCCGCGUGAGGGAUGGAGGCCUUCGGGUUGUGAACCUCUUUCGCCAGUGAAGCAGGCCUGCCUCGUUUGUGGGUGGGUUGACGGUAGCUGGAUAAGAAGCGCCGGCUAACUACGUG
rnacentral:rRNA from 1 species